GAUUGAACGCUGGCGGCAGGCUUAACACAUGCAAGUCGAGCGGGGAUAGGGUGCUUGCACCUGAUUCCUAGCGGCGGACGGGUGAGUAAUGCUUAGGAAUCUGCCUAUUAGUGGGGGACAACGUUCCGAAAGGGACGCUAAUACCGCAUACGUCCUACGGGAGAAAGCAGGGGAUCUUCGGACCUUGCGCUAAUAGAUGAGCCUAAGUCGGAUUAGCUAGUUGGUGGGGUAAAGGCCUACCAAGGCGACGAUCUGUAGCGGGUCUGAGAGGAUGAUCCGCCACACUGGGACUGAGACACGGCCCAGACUCCUACGGGAGGCAGCAGUGGGGAAUAUUGGACAAUGGGGGGAACCCUGAUCCAGCCAUGCCGCGUGUGUGAAGAAGGCCUUUUGGUUGUAAAGCACUUUAAGCGAGGAGGAGGCUUACCUGGUUAAUACCUGGGAUAAGUGGACGUUACUCGCAGAAUAAGCACCGGCUAACUCUGUGCCAGCAGCCGCGGUAAUACAGAGGGUGCAAGCGUUAAUCGGAUUUACUGGGCGUAAAGCGCGCGUAGGUGGCUAAUUAAGUCAAAUGUGAAAUCCCCGAGCUUAACUUGGGAAUUGCAUUCGAUACUGGUUAGCUAGAGUAUGGGAGAGGAUGGUAGAAUUCCAGGUGUAGCGGUGAAAUGCGUAGAGAUCUGGAGGAAUACCGAUGGCGAAGGCAGCCAUCUGGCCUAAUACUGACACUGAGGUGCGAAAGCAUGGGGAGCAAACAGGAUUAGAUACCCUGGUAGUCCAUGCCGUAAACGAUGUCUACUAGCCGUUGGGGCCCUUGAGGCUUUAGUGGCGCAGCUAACGCGAUAAGUAGACCGCCUGGGGAGUACGGUCGCAAGACUAAAACUCAAAUGAAUUGACGGGGGCCC
rnacentral:rRNA from 1 species